rnacentral:ncRNA from 1 species
AGUGAGUUUGAUCCUUGCUUGAGUUUUUACUGUUUGGUUAGUACACAUGUAAAGUAGUUUGUAAAAAGUGGGUGUUUAAUGCAAUAGUUUUUAUGUCCUCAGUGUAAGAAAUUAGUAAAUAAAUGGAAGUUUGAGUUAGUAAUCUAAUGGAGUUCGGGCUAAAUUUGUGCCAGCAGCCGCGGUUAGACUGACGGGGUAAGUAAUAAUAUUUAAGUUAGACGAUUAGAGUGAUUUUCAGCAAGAGAGGUGUUUAUAAAAGUAAAGGGUGGAAUCUAGUGUUUUGAAGUAUGAAGCUUUUUUGUUGAGUUGAGUUGAGGUCGUGAAGACUAAGGUUUAAAUCAGGAUUAGAUACCCUGUUAUACUUAGUUGAAAUUUUUUAGACUUGAGUAGUAAGCAGUUAUGUUCUUGAAACUUAAAGGAUUUGGCGGUAUCUUAGUCUAGUUAGAGGAACCUGUUUUAUAAACGAUAAACCACGAAAUAUCUUACUUCUUUUAGUAAAAUCAGCUUGUAUACCGUCAUUAUUAGAUAAUCUUUAUAAAGAGUUAUUAGGAUAAAUGUUUGUUAAUAUAUUAGAUCAAGGUGCAGCCAAUGGGGGAGAAAGUAAUGGGUUACAAUGUAAUUUGAGAUAAACGGAUGUAGGAGUAGAAUACUCUUUGGAAGGUGGAUUUAAUUGUAAUUAUGUUUUAAUAAGGGAUAAUGAUACUGGCUCUAUGAUAUGUACACAUCGCCCGUCGCUCUCACUUUUAAUGUGAGAUAAGUCGUAACAUAGUAGGUGUGUUGGAAAACGCACCUAGAAUUUU